AGAGUUUGAUCAUGGCUCAGGAUGAACGCUAGCGGCAGGCUUAAUACAUGCAAGUCGUGGGGCAGCACAGUGUAGCAAUACAUGGGUGGCGACCGGCAAACGGGUGCGGAACACGUACGCAACCUUCCUUUAACUGGAGAAUAGCCCGGGGAAACCCGGAUUAAUACUCCGUAACAUUAUGAAGUGGCAUCACUUUAUAAUUAUAGCUCCGGCGGUUGAAGAUGGGCGUGCGUCUGAUUAGGUAGUUGGCGGGGUAACGGCCCACCAAGCCUACGAUCAGUAACUGGUGUGAGAGCACGACCAGUCACACGGGCACUGAGACACGGGCCCGACUCCUACGGGAGGCAGCAGUAAGGAAUAUUGGUCAAUGGACGCAAGUCUGAACCAGCCAUGCCGCGUGGAGGAUGAAGGUCCUCUGGAUUGUAAACUUCUUUUAUUUGGGAAGAAACCCCCGAUUUCUAUUGGGGUUGACGGUACCAGAUGAAUAAGCACCGGCUAACUCCGUGCCAGCAGCCGCGGUAAUACGGAGGGUGCAAGCGUUAUCCGGAUUCACUGGGUUUAAAGGGUGCGUAGGCGGGUUGGUAAGUCCGUGGUGAAAUCUCCAAGCUUAACUUGGAAACUGCCGUGGAUACUAUCAAUCUUGAAUAUAGUGGAGGUGAGCGGAAUAUGUCAUGUAGCGGUGAAAUGCUUAGAUAUGACAUAGAACACCCAUUGCGAAGGCAGCUCGCUACACUAUUAUUGACGCUGAGGCACGAAAGCGUGGGGAUCAAACAGGAUUAGAUACCCUAGUAGUCC
rnacentral:rRNA from 1 species